GAAGGAGUCAGAAGAAUCAAAGUCUACAGACCUAAAGAUGCUGCUCUGCUGAUUUAGAAGAAGACAGCAGGUGUCAAGAAAUGGAGCAGCAUCUGAAAACUGGAAAAGUCAAGGAACCAAUUCUGCCCUAAAGGCUCCAGAAGGAACACAGCAGUACUGACACCUAGCUUUCAGCCUAGUGAGAACCAUUUUUAACCUCUGACCUCCAGAAAUGUAAGGCAAUAAAUUUGCAUUGAUUUAAGGACAAAAUUUCUGCUAAAUCAGCCUAUGAGCCGACAUGUCCUUCUGACCUGAUGGAGUCUCGCUCUGACGCCCAGGCUGGAGGCAAUGGGACGAUCUCAGAUCACUGCAAACUCCCCCUCCCGAGUUCAAGCAAUUCUCUGUCUCAGCCUCCCAAGUAGCUGGGAUUACAGGCGCCCGCCACUACGCCCGGCUAAUUUUUUUGUAUUUUUAGUAGAGACGGGGUUUCACCAUCUUGGCCAGGCUGGUCUUAAACUCAUGAUCUCCUGAUCCACCUGCCUUGGCCUCCCAAAGUGCUGGGAUUACAGGCAUGAGCCACCGCGCCAGCCAACUACUUUUGAAGUCAGGCUUACGAAGAUAUAAUUUACAUUCAUUAAAACUCAUCCUUUUUAGUGUAGACAUCUGUGAGUUUGGACAAAGUCAUAUCAUUGUGUAACUAUCACGACAUUAAUGAUAUAAAACAAUUUAUAACCAAAAUUUCCCUCAUUUUCUGCUUUAGUCAGCCUCUUCCACACUCCCUGCCAAUGACACUUAACUUAUUUUCUGUCCCUGUAGUUCUGUCUUUUCCAGAAUAUCAUAUACAUAAAAUUAUUUGUCAUUUAAAUGAAUUAAAAGUAUGUAGCCUUUUGAUUAUGUGUUCUACUUACUGUAAUAAAUUUGAG
rnacentral:lncRNA from 1 species